AGCUCAAAUCCUUUUUGCUUCUGAGAGCUGGAGGACUACACAAUUUUCUACACAGGAGAGGAAAGUCAAGAGUAAUCUAAACUGUUAGCCCAAAUUAUAAGAUUAUAUCCCCACUUACAUAAACAUGUCAAGGUCCAGCUAGCAUAAAUAUUUACUUUCAAAGUUCAUUUAGCAUCAAGCUCGCUACAGGAGAUGCCAAAUUUGUGAGAAAGCUGCAGAGAUAUUAAGGUUGUAAGAGGUCUAUCCAUCUGUUGCUUCAAAAACCCUCCCCAAGGCAGUAAAACUUGUGCUGUACAGAUUAACUGGGAUUGACAGAAGAGAGAAAAUUAAAUUAGAGGCAGAAAAGAAGAAGGGCAGUAAAUUAUGUGCAGUUUACAUCCCACCAGCCUGAAACAUAUGCUCCCAUAAACCCCAUUUCCACAAGCCUCAGAAGCAGGUAUGCCAGAUGAAAUCCUUCUAUUUUAUGGCACAAGCAGGACUUUUUGGAAGCUGUUUCACCUGCACAAGCUGCACAAAUACAAGCUACUGAAGACCCUCCUCUGCCCUAUCACCCUUGCUGACACAGCCUUCCCCUCUUCCGAGAUUAAACGCUUGACUUAGCACCCGUCAGCAGAGCACAGGUGGCUGCUCAGAGCUUGCUGAACACCAGGAGCCCCUGUCAUGGGAAAACAGCAGGUCUGAGAGGAGAUUUAACCCUGGAUGCUACAUCUGUGUGGCCAGGCUCCAGAACAUCCCACCUCAGGGGUCAGGGCAGGAGGCUUCUCCCCUGCUGGCCACCUCUCCUGCAUCAGGAGGAGGUCUGGAGGCUGUUGCAGGGCAGCAAAACCCCAUGGCACCAGGCAAAGCUGUGCCCUGAGAUCUGUCCCAGCCAGAUUCCCCCAAAUAACAGCUCUAAGCUCCAGGCAGGAGGUGCAGGAGACUCCUGGCAGAGGGAUGGGCUGAGGAUGUUCAGGUGAAGGUGGAGGGAGGUCCACCCAUCACAUCUCUUGUUUUGCUGCUCAGAGAGUUCUCCCCACCACUCUACAAAGUGAAAACACCAACCAGCUCAGCAGGGGCAACUUCAGACCCCUCAUUCACAUUUUCAGAUAUUCUGCAGUGAUCAGGAGACAGGGACAGGGCAGCAGGGACUCUUCCACACCACCAAGCUCGCCUGUGGCCCUAACAAUUUCAGGAAGCAUCUUCCAAUCCUUUAAACAGAGCCCUCCUAAGAGGAGGAAGCAGAUGGAGAAAGUUAUUUUCCCCCCUUGCAUGACCUGCUUUAAUAAAUGCACACUCAGUUCUUUUCUGUCUUUUAUAGUGAGUUAAGCACGGGCAUGGAAUUUCUGGGAAGUUCACAGUGUCAGCCAUCAAACCUCUUGUUCCUGCAAGAGCCCAGGGAUUUAUGAGUGCCAAGUGCACUCAUUAGAGCAGUGGGCUGGUCAUUCAGUAACAUCCAGCUCCCUGCCAACUCAGCUCAAGUUGGAAAUGCAGGAGAAACUGAGGGUCUGGUAGAUUGGAUCUUCACCUACCCACUCCAUGACCCUAUUCCCCAAGAAAAGAAGAUACAAAUCUUCCUCUUAUGCAUCUGCUAUCAAGAUAACCAUUGUACUGCUUAAGGAUGAAAGACAAAAGUGGAUUUUUCUAUCUACUCUCACCAAAUUAAAGCUGAAGGAAGCUCAGCUUUACUAAUUCAGACUUUCUUAGAUGUUUAUGAUAAUUGUCUCCUGGGUAAUUUGUUUAAAUUUGUGUGUAAACAAAUGGUUUGUACACAUCUACAGCCCCACAAAGAGCGUGUCAUUUCUGAAAAACAUUUCAGCCAUAGCUCACUCUUUUCAUUUUCCCCUCAGAGAAAAGCAGUUCAAGGCUGAAUUAUGGCAUUACCUGCAACAGGAGCCAGUGCAGCCUCACAGGCCUCUGCAAAUCAAAUGGCCAGUUUUAAUAUUUCCACAAGUGGUCCUCAAAUGAGAAAAAGCCUUCUGUUUCCCUGCUUCUCUGAAUGUCUUUGGGCAGCUGCUCAAGAGGUGUAACUCAGUUUGACUGCACUGGGACUUUUAUAUGGGACUAUUUUUUUAAAAUUCCACUGUACAUGUAAAUAUCCAUCAACUUCUACCUGUCCACCUUUCUCUUACAGGAAGGAUUCAGCUAGGGCACCUUUUUUCCACCUUCCAAGUGUUUUUUUUGGGAUUUUUUUUACAAGAAAAUGGGAAUCAAGUGAUCGGAAACUAUAAAUUCAUAGUCUUUCCUAGUAAAAGGUAGAGAGAAGAGCAAGCCAAGCCUCCCAUGAGUGGGGCAGCUUUCACAGCAACUUGUGCCCAGUCAUCCACCAGCAGGUCUGAUACUCCUGGUCCUGGUCUGGGUGUAUUUGCAAAGCCCAUCCCCAAAAACACACCAUGGGCUGUCCAUCCCCAAACACACAUCAUGGACUGAACAUCCCCAAACACACACCAUGGGCUGUCCAUCCCCAAACACACACCAUGGGCUGAACAUCCCCAAACACACAUCAUGGACUGAACAUCCCCAAAAACACACCAUGGACUGAACAUCCCCAAACACACAUCAUGGACUGAACAUCCCCAAACACACACCAUGGGCUGAACAUCCCCAAACACACACCAUGGGCUGUCCAUCCCCAAACACACAUCAUGGACUGAACAUCCUCAAACACACAUCAUGGGUUCUCCAUCCCCAAACACACACCAUGGACUGAACAUCCCCAAACACACACCAUGGGCUGUCCAUCCCCAAACACACAUCAUGGACUGAACAUCCUCAAACACACACCAUGGGCUGUCCAUCCCCAAACACACAUCAUGGACUGUCCAUCCCCAAACACACACCAUGGGCUGUCCAUCCCCAAACACACACCAUGGGCUGUCCAUCCCCAAACACACACCAUGGGUUCUCCAUCCCCAAACACACAUCAUGGACUGAACAUCCCCAAACACACACCAUGGGCUGUCCAUCCCCAAACACACAUCAUGGACUGAACAUCCCCAAACACACAUCAUGGACUGAACAUCCCCAAACACACACCAUGGGCUGUCCAUCCCCAAACACACAUCAUGGACUGAACAUCCCCAAACACACAUCAUGGACUGAACAUCCCCAAACACACACCAUGGGUUCUCCAUCCCCAAACACACACCAUGGACUGAACAUCCCCAAACACACACCAUGGGCUGAACAUCCCCAAACACACAUCAUGGGCUGUCCAUCCCCAAACACACACCAUGGGCUGAACAUCCCCAAACACACACCAUGGGCUGUCCAUCCCCAAACACACAUCAUGGACUGAACAUCCCCAAACACACAUCAUGGGCUAAACAUCCCCAAACACACACCAUGGGCUAAACAUCCCCAAACACACAUAAUGGGCUGUCCAUCCCCAAACACACACCAUGGACUGAACAUCCCCAAACACACAUCAUGGGUUCUCCAUCCCCAAACACACACCAUGGGCUGAACUUCCCCAAAAACACUUCAUGGGUUCUCCAUCCCCAAACACACACCAUGGGCUGAACUUCCCCAAAAACACUUCAUGGGUUCUACAUCCCCAAACACACAUCAUGGGCUGUCCAUCCCCAAAAACACACCAUGGGCUCUCCACCCCAUAAUCAUCUCCCUCAUCAUGUCCCACCCAUGCUCUUCACCUGCCAGUGACCAGUCAUAUCUAAACUUUCUGUUGCACUAAUGCUCUUACUUUUAAAUGCUCCUCACUCUAAAAAAAAGCCCAACAAAACAACAACAAAACAAAAACGAAGAACCCCAACAAAAACCCCUAAACAAGCCAACUCUGGUGUUUACUUCCCCAUUUCCACCUGUAGCAACCUAAACAAAGCAACAAUCACAGUUUUGCUGUAUCACAUUAUUCCCUGCUAACAAUACUUUCCAGUGAUGCUUGAUAAGUCCUGUUUACCCAAACUAGCACAAGUAGAAUAACACAUGUCAAGCAACUGCUUUUUCAUUUAGGACCCUUAGCCCAAAGAAGGGGAAGCAAAACUCUUUCCCCAUUCAAAUAGCACCUACUCAUGCCAGGAAUGCCUCAAGUUAAGAAAACUUGGGUAAAGAAAAGUUUAAAAGUUCUCACUCCUAGGAGCUGUUUUACUAGGAAUUCGAUUUUGUGCUUAAAUAAGUGAGAUCCGAGAAGAUGAAGCUUUCUGCACUGGCCCCUAUUCUUGUGGGAAUAUAAAGAGAAAACCAUGCCUCUCCUCCUAGCGUAUUAGUGCCCCCUAAUACACACCAGAUGAUCAAUAAACUGCAUAAAAAUUAAAUCAAACUGACAGUCUUUAAAAAAUGGGCUCUAAGCAGAAACAAUUGUUUUAAAGACUGUGGUGUCUGGAGUAUUAAACUCA